AAUGAACUCAGCGAUGGCGGCCUUGAUGGCGUCGGGUUGGCUGGCUUCGGCCGGAGAUCCGAGUGUGAUUCUAGCGAGCGGCAUUGUCUGUGUUGAUGUGGUUCAAGAGCUAUGGUUUUUGCGAAUCUUAUGUGGUAUGCCUCCACACAGCUUCUAUUUAUGUACUUGAUCGACUGCU